rnacentral:rRNA from 1 species
UACGUAGGGCGCAAGCGUUGUCCGGAAUUAUUGGGCGUAAAGAGCUCGUAGGCGGUCUGUUACGUCUGCUGUGAAAUCCCGGGGCUUAACCCCGGGCGUGCAGUGGAUACGGGCAGGCUGGAGGCAGGCAGGGGAGAACGGAAUUCCCGGUGUAGCGGUGAAAUGCGCAGAUAUCGGGAGGAACACCGGUGGCGAAGGCGGUUCUCUGGGCCUGUACUGACGCUUAGGAGCGAAAGCGUGGGGAGCGAACAGG